rnacentral:rRNA from 1 species
ACCUGGCUCACACCGGUUUAAACUCAGAUCAUGUAAAAUUUUAAAGGUCGAACAGACCCAAUAUACCAGCUUCUACACCAAUAAUUCAUUUUAAUCCAACAUCGAGGUCGCAAUCUUUUUUUUCGAUAAGAACUCUAAAAAAAAUUACGCUGUUAUCCCUAAGGUAAUUUUAUCUUAUAAUCUUCCUAAAGGAUCAUGUACUCAUUCAUAAAUGGUUCUACUUAAAAAAAAGUUUAUUUAAUUUUUUUGUCACCCCAACAAAAUAUUCUUUCUAUUAUAAUUCAUUUAAAUCCUUAAUUCUAGUUCAAUAAAAAAAAUAUAAAACUCUAUAGGGUCUUCUCGUCUUCUAUAAAUAUUUAAGCUUUUUAACUUAAAAAUAAAAUUCAAAUAAAAUUUUCCAGAGACAGAAACCCCCUCAUCAAACCUUUCAUACAAGCUUUCAAUUAAAAAACUAAUGAUUAUGCUACCUUUGCACGGUCAGUAUACCGCGGCCAUUAAAUUUCUCAUUGGGCAGGCUAGACCUAAAAUUAUAAUCAAUAGGCC